GAUGAACGCUGGCGGCGUGCCUACUACAUGCAAGUCGAGGGGAGAGGCGAACGGGUGAGUUACACGUGAGUAACCUGCCCUUUUCUUUGGGAUAAGCCUGGGAAACUGGGUCUAAUACUGGAUGGAUUGGGAUGGGCUCGCGUCUAAUCAGCUUGUUGGUGGGGUGAUGGCUUACCAAGGCUUUGACGGGUAGCCGGCCUGAGAGGGUGGUCGGUAACACUGGGACUGAGAUUCGGCCCAGACGCCUACGGGAGGCAGCAGUGGGGGAUAUUGCACAAUGGACGAAAGUGUGAUGCAGCGACGUCGUGUGGGGGAUGAAGGCCGUCGGGUUGUAAACUCCUUUCGGCCCCGGAAUGGUAGUGGGGAAAGAAGCGCCGGCUAACUCCGUGCCAGCAGCCGCGGUAAUAC
rnacentral:rRNA from 1 species